rnacentral:lncRNA from 1 species
ACUAAUCCAACCAAGGCCAGCUGUGGAUGGGAAGUCCAAGAAUCUAGUACUUACUCAGUCCCACAAGGCUGAGGCUGAGGCUCCAGCAGAUGUGCUGGCAGAGUGAGUGUGAGCAGGUGAAGAAGGAACCAACCCUUCCUUGUUCUGUUGUCCGUUGUAGGCCUCCAGCAGAAGGCAUGACCCAGAUCUAGACUGUGUUCCUCACAGUCCAGAUCAAAGGCUUGUUGUCUUCCUGCCUCAAGAUCUGGAUCACAGAUUACAGAGGGACAGAAGGCAGAGCUUUGCUGUUUUCCCAUGGCUUCACAUCUAACGGGUGAGUUGAGUUCACGUACUUCUGUUGCUUCCACUGCUGACACUGUCUGCACCCCGUCAGUGAUUUCAG